UAUUCUUGAUCUUUAUCAUUAAAUAUUAUACUAAUAAAGUCGAGGGAAACUACGACUACCUGCCAUUUCUUAAACAUAACUCGGGGAGCAAUCGGGAUGAUAAUUCCUACGGUGGCCUUUCGGCACCCCCCGAGAUCCUGGCUCGGGGGCCGAGAGCACAGCAAGCGUAUGCCGAAGCAGCUAAAGCUGGCAAGAAGAAAGUAUUCCGAACUCGCCUGAUGCUUGUGGGACAAGAACGUGUUGGAAAGACAAGUCUAAAGAAAACUCUUACAAGACAAGGAUUUGAUAAAAAUGAGGCAAUAACGGACGGUGUAGAAACAACAGACGCUUGUGAAAUUAGCAUCGAGGUUGUAAAGACUUGCGAGAAAAUGUGGUCAAUUCACAAGAAAGGACAUGAGAAUGAAGAUAACAAAGAGGAUGAAUACAAAAAAGCCCUUGCGGAUGACAUAGCAAAGAGGCUGACCGUAAACC